GGAGUUAGCCGGUGCUUCUUCUGUGAGUGAUGUCCUUCCUGCCGGCUAUUAACCCGCAGGCCUUCUUCCUCACUGAAAGUGCUUUACAACCCGAAGGCCUUCUUCACACACGCGGCAUGGCUGGAUCAGGGUUGCCCCCAUUGUCCAAUAUUCCCCACUGCUGCCUCCCGUAGGAGUCUGGGCCGUGUCUCAGUCCCAGUGUGGCUGAUCAUCCUCUCAGACCAGCUACGGAUCGUCGCCUUGGUGAGCCGUUACCUCACCAACCAGCUAAUCCGACAUAGGCUCAUCCGAUAGCGCGAGGCCCGAAGGUCCCCCGNUUUCCCCCGUAGGGCGUAUGCGGUAUUAGCCUGGGUUUCCCCCAGGUUAUCCCCCGACUACCGGGCAGAUUCCUAUGCAUUACUCACCCGUCCGCCGCUCGCCACCAGGGAGCAAGCUCCCCGUGCUGCCGCUCGACUUGCAUGUGUUAGGCCUGCCGCCAGCGUUCAAUCUGAGCCAUGAUCAAACUCUGA
rnacentral:rRNA from 1 species